rnacentral:misc_RNA from 1 species
AUUUUCUUCUACCACGUUGAUACACUGCUGCGAAGCGUAGCGUCGCAACCCCGUGGAACAUCCCUCUGUUUCUCUUCGUGGUUGAUCGCAAUCAUCGAUUAAGAGAAGGAAGGUGCGUAGACGCUGAGGCGAGAACAUCAAUGACAACCACGUGCUUGCAAACAAGACUCGGCAAGGUUAUCGUUCUAUCUGCAUACAUAAGGAUUCUACUUACACGCCACACCUAAAACACGAAUAUUACUUCGAUUUUUACAAAACGACCGAAUACUAAAAUUGUGCCUUCAUGUUCUGGAACACAUCCAGAUAACUUAUUUUCUUAGCAUCUUAAUAAACGUAAUUCAACGAAUCGUAUAACAUAA